AGCCCGGUCGUCUAGCGGUCAAUCCUGGCCAGAACAGGGACAAGGGAUUCCGGGCUCUGGCCCCGGAGACGGCGGUUCGAAUCCGCCCCGGGCUA
rnacentral:tRNA from 1 species